UGGGGAAUUUUGGACAAUGGGCGAAAGCCUGAUCCAGCAAUGCCGCGUGUGUGAAGAAGGCCUUCGGGUUGUAAAGCACUUUUGUCCGGAAAGAAAUCCUUGGCUCUAAUACAGUCGGGGGAUGACGGUACCGGAAGAAUAAGCACCGGCUAACUACGUGCCAGCAGCCGCGGUAAUACGUAGGGUGCAAGCGUUAAUCGGAAUUACUGGGCGUAAAGCGUGCGCAGGCGGUUUGCUAAGACCGAUGUGAAAUCCCCGGGCUCAACCUGGGAACUGCAUUGGUGACUGGCAGGCUAGAGUAUGGCAGAGGGGGGUAGAAUUCCACGUGUAGCAGUGAAAUGCGUAGAGAUGUGGAGGAAUACCGAUGGCGAAGGCAGCCCCCUGGGCCAAUACUGACGCUCAUGCACGAAAGCGUGGGGAGCAAACAGGAUUAGAUACCCUGGUAGUCCACGCCCUAAAACGAUGUCAACUAGUUGUUGGGGACUUCAUUUUCCUUAGUAACGUAGCUAACGCGUGAAGUUGACCGCCUGGGGAGUACGGUCGCAAGAUUAAAACUCAAAUGAAUUGACGGGGU
rnacentral:rRNA from 1 species